AGCAGACAUUUUUUGCAAUAAACAAUUGGUUUCUUGAAAUGCUUGUUACUGCAAUUACUCUGGUGAUGCCUGGACACAGAUGAUGGAAUCAUAAUGAUUUUUUGGGUAAAUUUAUGGAGGAUAGAUCAAGUUCUUCCUUGAUGUCAUUCUCCUUUCACCCUUUUCUAUGAUAAUAUAUUUAAGAUUAUCCUUUUGCCCAAGACCUUGUCUAGAGAUAUACUAUCUAGAGACAAAAGUUUCUCUCUUAGAAUUUUAACUGUGCUACAAAAAUGCAGCUGAGAUGAAAUCUUUGGGGGGUUGUGGAUGCUAAUUUAUCUGUUUAUGUU
rnacentral:misc_RNA from 1 species